UGGAUCCUUAGGAAAGGGGAGGAGAAUUCAUUGCUUUCUUCCUAACUCCUCUCUCUGAUUAGGGUUUUGAUUAAAAAACCUCUAAGAAAGAGAUUUGAACACAGGAUCCAAGAUCCAAAGUGCAUCACAGAAAGCCAUAGCCUUUUCUUUCAAUAGGUUCUUUUGGCUCGCUAUGAUGCAGACAUCUCUCUCUCUCUCUCUCUCUCUCUCUCUCUCUCUCUCUCUCUCUCUCCUUUUAACUUCUAGAGAGCUCCAUCACCUCCACUCAUCAUCUUUGGCCGACCCGACCAGAAUCUGGCCAAAUAGUGCCAAUCUCUUCAAUCUCUUCUUGUCCUUUACAUAGGUUUUCCUUAGUACUUUGGUAGUUUAUUCUCUCCAACUUUUGUUUCCUACAAUCACCAAGAUACUAUUGAAUUUUAUUGGAUUUUUGUGAUUUAAAACUUGUUAAGGCCUUUUGGGAGCCCGAUUAUUAUUAAUGGGCUUUGCUUGGAAAUCCAACUUAAGUUUCCAUAUGUGAGGUUAAGUCCCACAUUGAAAACUAAAAGUGUUGUUGGCAUAUAUAUAUAUAUAUUCCUUUAUUCUUAAGCAACUUGCUUGAGAGAAAAUAAAAGUUAUGCUCUCGUUUAAACAUACACGCACGAGCCAGGCCGGGCCGAGUGGGCGGCGGCAACGCGCGCAAUCCAUACACCCAAUUUAUUUAUUUUUUUUUAUUUUUUCGGUUUUAUUUUUAUCUUUAUCCUAAUCCUAAUCCUUAUCUGUAUAAUCAUAGGCUUAUCUUAUUCUACACGGAUUGAAGCAAGAAACUUGCCUUUGUUAUAAAUAUUGGAGGAGGUUGUUAGAUGUAUACCCUAGAAGCCAACCAGGCCGACACAUGUAUUCUUUCUAGGAUAUAAAUUUGUAUUUGACUUUAAAUUAUUAUGAAUAAAUUUGGGUUCUUAUUUCCAUUCAUGUUGUGUAUGUGACCAUGAAUCGUCCAAGGAAUUAAUAAGAUGAUGACAUAUAUUCUCAAAAGUUGAGAAUUUGAGACAUGUGUCAUUCGUGGUUAAUUCCUAAAUGCUCCCGAUCAAUGGAUAAUCACGGGGACGGUGAUUGAUCCGAUGAGAUUGGUACAUAGGUCGCUUCCUUUUUGGGUAGAUGGGUCUCGAGUCGACAGUGUGGGGACACUGAAGCGAAUAUGCAGGUGGUUGUUAAAGAACGAGGGUACCGAGCGUGACCAUCGUGAGAAGUCACUUGGAUGUCUACUCACUCGUCAGUGACUUACUCAAUGUUGCAGUAGUGUGACUGGUCUUUUGACUUGCGGUGCCUCGACUACUCACAAUGAGGUUACUGUAGUUUGACUGUACAUACACUUGGUCCCUAGUCAUUCGGGUCCUUGCGGUGCAUGUUGGCUGCAGUAGGUUCAUUGUAGGAAUAGGGUGUGCACUUAGAUGGUAUCUAUCUCCCUUGGUAGAUAGGGGUGUUAGUCCUAUAUGAUUUAUGAGACCGAGCUUAGAAGACCUUGGCCAGGGCAGAGAUAAUAGCGGAAAGGGAUUUCCGAUAUUAGAAACUCGAGUCGAAUAAAUUUAACAUAUGACAGACGAUGGGGUUUGACGAGUUAUUCCAUAACCUCCGUCUAGUCGGGACUCAUGAUAGAAGGAUUGUAUCACACGGUAACUGCACCAAGAGGUUCAGUAUUCCAUUCUACUGGAAUGCCACUACAUGCUGCUAGGCGUCACUGGUGGAUUGUGAGACUCAUGAGAAUUAUCUAGAUGAUCGAUAAUUCUCAUUGGGCUGAGUUGGAAUUGUUCUAAUCCAUUGAAAGGAGUUUCAGUGAUAUUGUUGAUAGUGAUCAAAAUAUAUCUCACUACCAGAUAGAAUAGAACCUAUGGGGUCACAUACAUAAGAGGUUGUGAUUUAUCGAAUAGCUAGAUCGCGAUUAUUGUAUCGUCGGAUGACCUAAUUGUCAAUAUGUUGAUAAUUGGACUAAUUUAUAAUUAUUACAAAUUAGUGGUAUUAAAGUGUAAAUGUUACAAGAGAGGACUUACUAAUAGUUAGUAAAUUAUAAGAGGACUUAUGUGCAAAUGUUGCAUUAUUAAUUUGAUAAGAUCAAAUUAAUAUAAAAUUCAAGUCGAAUCAAAUUAGGAUUUGAUCGAUCUAACCAAUUAAGGAAAUGAUAAAUUUAAAUCUAGAUUUAUACUUAUUCUUAAUUGUCAUUAUAUUAUUAGGAAUAGGAUUAUAUUCCUAUAUAUAAUAUACGGGAGUUUUUAGAAAACCCUAGCCGUCAUAUCUCUUCUCCUCUCUCCUCCAUCUUCUAGCAAGAAAGACAUCCUUUGCAAGGGAGCUAGCACCCUGGUGAGGAAAUCGAUCAAAUCAAGAACCUCGUGUGGAUACCUAUAGAGGCCGGACGCGUGUGCGGCUUCAAGAGAAUCCGAUUCCACGAUCAUCAAAGUUGAGGUGAAGAUCUAUCCGCGAAAAAGGUAAAGAUUCGAUCUUGCUUUUCUCCUUUAAUCUUAAAGAACAUGAGGGAUCCUAAUUGCGUGAUUUUUGAGAUUGGAUCUCGAGAGUUUUCAAAAUCAAAUUUGUUUGAUUUAUUUUUCCACUGCGUUUUACAGUACGCAAUUUUCUAACAGUUGCGUGAGUUCGAUAAGAACCGACGCAUACCUAAGAGAAAAACCUACCAUCUACCUCGUUUUUUCUGCUUUCCCGUCAUUAAUCUUUUUCGCCGACUUUCGCCGAGCUUUCGUUACUGGAUCUGAACCUUGUUGGAUUCAUCUUGCGCCACCUUGAAAGCAUGCCGACGGGGUGGAACGUGGUCGUUGUAUCGCUAGAAGUAAUUGCCGAAAAGCCUUGCACAUGAAUGGGCAAUUUCGCUUCUAGGACAGUGCUCUACACAUCUCGAUCAACAGACCUUAUCUAAACUUUUUCUUUACAGUAUUUGUUGUUUUUUUUCUUUCUCAGAAUUUUUUUAAACCUUAAAUUAAACUUUCAAAUUGUUUUACGAAAUAUUUUAAUAAAAGAUCAGAAAGAAUUUUCCAACAUAUACAUAGUUUUAUUUAUUUCAAUUCUAUUGAAGAUCCUAUUUGAGUUUCAAAAGUAUCUUCAUCAUGGCGUAUAGGAUGGGAUCAUCUAUUUCAGAACUAUUCUGAGCUUAGGUUGAUAUCCUCGUCAAGCUCAAGUGCAAUGGUCUUGGUUCUGGUCUUUCCACAAUGGUCGUCACCAGAGAAGGGCCCCACGUUCUACCUAUUAUAUGACCUUAACUUAGGACUUAAUUAAGCCCCCACGUUCUACCUAUUAUAUGACCUUAACUUAAGUUAGAACUUAUCUCAUAUCAAUUGAGACGAUCCGACUCACUAGCAAUACUAUAUGACCCUAAGACAAUCAAGACUUAUCUCAUACCAACUGUAACGAUCCAACCCUAAAACAAUCAAGACUUAUCUUAUACCAACUGUAACGAUCUGACUCAUUAACAAUAGUAACUCGUUAGGCCCAAAUUAUCGGCCUACAAAGCGUAAAGUUCGUAUUAUUAUUAUUAGAGUGUGUGACCUCUAAUAUUCUUAAACACAAUUUCUUUCUCAUUCGAUGUGAGAUUAUUGGAGUAUUACAUUACGAGAGUUUAUUCUUUCACGUUUGCUUGUCUUAACCUUUUUCUAUGUACUUUCUUUACAGCUUCUUGGACUUUUAUGCCAUGAGCUUGAUUAUUUAUUAAUUUAGGUAUUUAGGAUGGAGAAGUAAUCUAUAUCUUCCUCACCUUUCUUUUUCAGAGGCCGUCUAUUCUGUCUUAUCCUUAAUCACGUUAUAGUUUUAUUUAUUUCUCCUUUUUAAAUUAUUUUUAUGGUAUUCAAGUUUUACUUGUAAUGAAAUUUCUACAAACCUUUCUUAAACAAAUAUUUAGUUUUCUUAAAAAUAAUAAAGUGAGAAUUUUUUUCAUAGAAAAUAGCCAACAUGCACCGUCCUCACACACACACACACACACACACACACACACAUAUAUAUAUAUAUAUAGAGAGAGAGAGAGAGAGAGAGAGAGAGAGAGAGAUUUGGCAAGGCAGGCUAAGUCAUGGUCAUUGGACAAUGAUAGGAAUUUGACUCACUCUCAUCAUGAUUAUUGUUUGUUAAAUAAUUACUCCUACUCUAAAUUGAAUACAUCCAUCAAAGUUGGUUACAUUAUUUGCAUAUUCAUUGGUUAUCUGCUAUUGAGACAUGCACUUAUGUCACCAUCUAAAAAGCUAUGCAAGUUUAUUUCUUGGACCCCCUACUCUCUAAAAAAGAGUAGCAAUUAAUGUUGCUUUAUAUUCUCAGUUGAGCUCCUAUGCUUUUAAAAAUACCAGAGCAUUUGUAUUUGUGAUUUUUUAGCCAUCUAAUUAUUUUAAGAUCCAUACAGCACUACUAACAAUAUAUUUCAUUAAGUCUUCUUUAUUAGUGUUGUACAGAUUUUGAGGCGAUCUGACGGCUAAAAAAUUACACUUGUACUUUUAAAAACAUAUAUUGGAGCUCAAGUCUUAUACUCUAAGACAAGCAAAUAUAAUCUUUAUUAUAUUCUCCGCUAUUGUGCUUUUUUAGGUUAAAAGGAUGGAGAUUCACUCAACCAAAAGCCAUUCUUAUUUAGGCUUUUAUUAAAAUUUAGUCGGUUAAGUUAUAGAUUUCAUUAAAAUAAACUUCUAUCUAUUUUGAUUUGAAUCAUUAGCUAUAUAUUUAUCAUUAACUAGUUUGACAAAAAACUAAUUAGAGCCAUAAAAUUUGGCAAAAUUACUGAUUAAUUUGAGGAACUAACUCAGUUUACUACAAUUAAUACUCAACCCAGUGAGAGUUGAGGCAUAUCAAUAAUAUAUAUAUAUAUAUAUAUAUAUAUAUAUAUAUAUAUAUAUAUAUAUAUAUAUAUAUAUAUAUAUAGAGGUUUGGACCUGGGCUACUAUAUAGCAAAAUUCCAUUGUUGCUACCAGUAUUUUACCUUUGGAUCAACUCAUUUCAUUAUUUUAACCAUUGGAUUAAAUACAUAACCCAGUGGGACCACUCAACCCUAGGGGGACCACUCAACAAUAACGACUAAUAUCAUCCUGACCUACAAAUUUCAUCCAGGGUUAAAAACUUGAUAGCAAAAAGAACGUACUAUUACAUAGUAUUCCAGCCUAAUUCUAAAUAUAUAAUAUAUAAUAUAUAAUAUUACAUAUAUAUAUAUAAUAAUAUACAUAUAUAUAUAUAUAUCAUAACAUAUAUAUAUAUACAUAUAUAUAUAUAAUAUAUAUAUAUAUAUAUAUAUAUAUAUAUAUAUAGAGUGCGGCUAGGAUGCUUAUGGAAGCACGGAGGGCUCCGUGCUUCCACUUUGUUUUCGAUGUUUGGACUUUCGAAUCGACGAUCGGCUCCGUUAGACUUGAUCUAGAGUAUUUGAAGUAUCUAGAAAAUAAAUUUUGCGAUUUUUCGAUAUCCUUUGACUAGUGAUCGAAGUGGCUCAAAAUUAAUAAUUUUAAUGGCCGUGGUAAGCCGGUUGCAAGUUUAACGGUGUAGAAAUAUCCAAAUCACAUGAAAUUUUGAUAAAAAAUUCUUUAUACCAUAUAAAACAAGAUCAAUAACUUUGAUCUAAAAUUUUAAUGUCAUAUCAUCAUAUUGAUGGUAUGACACUAAAAUCUCGACUCUCAAUAUAUAUGAGGGUCAGCAUUGAAUAAGAAGUGCCAAGAAGCUACUCUAUAACAUCUUAAGCUUUCCCAAAAAAAAAAAAAAAAGGAAAAAAGAAAAAACCAUUGUUUCACAAGCUAUUUCUCUAUCGAAAAGUAGAGCUUAUUAUAUACAAAAUAAUAAUAAAAUACCUUACCUAAACCAUACUACAUAACAUAUGCCAACUUCAUUAGAUUGGAUGAUACACUCAAAACUCUCUUUAUCAUUCAUUAAAUUGAAUUAUAGAUUUGAAAGAAGAGUCCUUCUCCUUUGCAAUUAGGAAAAGAAAUUAAAUAACAAUAGCAAUAAUUAAAAUGCUCAUGGAAAUCUCUAUUGUCAUCUAGGACAACAAAUAUGUAUGGUUUAUCACCUAACACUAAUUAUUUUUGCAAUGGUUCGUACAUUGUGUCGUUUUGUGAUUGGCCAACUAAUUUUGUUACUCAUAUAAAUAGCACAUUUUUGAACUUUUAAUUAGAAAUUUAUUAGUGCUAAAUGUGCGUAAUAUGAUUGGUUCACCCUCAUCUCCUAAGAUGAGAUUGGAUUCCACUCAAUUAGUGGUAUUUUAGUGCUAAAAUCUUACUUUAUAUAUUAGGUUUUCACAAAAGUUUCAAUUUUGUGCUCAUUUUGCAAAGAAGUUGAUUAGUGAUUAUGAUCCAUGCAUCAUAAGGUCAAAUCAAUUAAGAGAUUGUUUAUGUACUCCACUCUAACUCAUACUUUUAGGGCACACAAUUAUAUAAUGGCAAACUUAUUGAUAGGAGUAGUGCACAAUUAUAAUUUUUUAUUUUAGCUUUUUUUUUAAACAAAUUUCAUGUAUUUGCCUUUUGGCUUGCGAAUGCAACAUAGAAGUAGUAAAAUUUAUAUUUUUCUUUAAGAACUAUCAAAGUAUAGUGUUUCUCCAACAAAUGAAAUAUAAGAAACCUAUUGGUUGUUGCUCUCAUGAGAGGUUGCUAUUUUGAAUUCAAUAAUACAGUAUAAUUGGUCCUUUUCAUCUACACUCCUUUUGAAGUCACCAUAGAUCAAUAAUCAUGAGACUCUUUAUAAAAAAUGCACUAACUUUACAAUAUAUAUGCAUGUGUGUUCAAAUGCCUGAACCUCUUGUCCAGUAUAUCUUUUUUUCUUCUAUUUCCAAAUAAUAUUUGAUGGAUUGAGGGAGUGCCAUGAGAAAAUGCUCACGGAUAAGGAGGAAUUACAAAGGAUUAAGUAAUGUUAGUUCAAUGAUAAUAUGUGACACCCUAAUAGUCCUAUAUCGGAUAGUUAUGACUAGAAUAGUGUCACAGACUCCCCCCGUUUAAGCCCUGACGUCCUCGUCAGCCCUAAACACACACAUGGCCCAAGAUCUCUCCCCGUUUAGCCCUGGCGUCCUCGUCAGCCCUAAACACACACAUGGCCCAAAUCUCUCCCCCGUUUAGGCCCUGACAUCCUCGUCAGCCCUAAACACACACACGACCCAAGAUCAUCAGGCGAUGUGAGACUCGUCUCGUUAGCUUUUGUCUUAGUCCAUCAUUUCUCUCACACUUCCGACUGGUGAACUGGCUCUGAUACCAAAUAUAAUGAACCGAUCCGCUAGCAAUAAUAACUCGUUGGGCCCAACCACCGGCCCAAAAUACUUAAACCCAAUUAUUAUGUCUAACCUAUUCAAGUUUAUAUACCUUAAUUAAUGAGUUAUUAUUGUUAGCGGGUCGAAUCGUUACAUAAUUGUUAAUGAUUAGCCAACUCCUAUCCUGCAUAUAUUUACUUGAAUAUAUUGGGAUUUUCUAAGUUGUAAAGCAUUGAUUCUUGUCACUAACCUUUUUUUGGUUGGUUUUUGAGUGCGAAUGAUAAAUUGGUGAUAAUGUUAUUUUACAGUGGUGUAGUACAAUAAUUGAUAAGCAAUGUAAGAAUAAUGUAACACUAGUGAACGUGCGAGGGAAGUGUAAUGGAAGAUUACCUAAAAAGGCAAGUGAUCCUAUAUUCUCCUCCUUAGAACUUAGAUGACAAAUUAAUACAUUAACAUGCAUGUUACCUAACAUAACUAUUUUCUCAAUUAAAAAAGUGGCAUCAAUAUAUAAUAACAACAUAUUCGCAAACAAGAGUGAUUCAAAUGAAAAACAUGUCUAUUAUUUUCAAAAAGAAAAAAGAAUAGUCAAUUUUAUUGAAGCAUCAAAUGAAACUGCAUUGAGCCAGUUCAACCAACCUAUUAAAUUAAGAUCAAAUCAAGAUAAAAACUAAAACCCAACUGCAUCAAACAUAACUUGAUAUUUUGUAAAUUAGUUUCCUAUUCUUGAGAGUAUCUGAUUAUAACCUCGUCUACAAUAUAGGAUUGAGAAGCGCUUAUUUAGUUGUGUAAGUAUUUCAAAAGGAUGUUAAUAAAGUAUCACUACAACAAAAACGGUCUAUAGCGACACUUUUAAAUACAGGUACAUGUUAAAAAAGUGCUGCUAGCUAAAAUUACCAACACUUUUAAAAAGUGUUGCUAUAUGUGGGGUCACUAGGUAUAUAGUGACAGUUAAAGAGUGUCGCUAUAACCUAAAAAAGUGCUGCUAAUUUACCAACACUUAUUUAAGCAUUUAGCAACCGUCGAAACUCUAUCUCGUUGGCUGCGGUGGCGGAGGAGGACAACAGGAAAGGAUCUUCGUCUAGAAUUUCAGUGGAUUCAGUGAAGAGAGAAGAAAAGAUGGUAAUUGAGUUUUCUUUUUUUUUCUUUUCUGUUUGUAAUCGGGUCAAAUGGACUGGGUGUGGUGGGUUGAGUAGAGUAAUCUUUUAUUUUUGGUUGGAUUGGGCUUUAUAUUUAGGCAUAAGUAGAAGUUUUUUUUAGUUUUAGCAUAAAUUGGACACUUACUCAAAAGUGUUCCUAUCAUGUGCCCCUAUAACCUAAUUCUGUUGUAGUGUGUGGUCUUCUAAUUUCUUUAAGUUUUCACAAUACUCUAUUCUAAAGUUUAAGUCUAUAUGAAUGUAGGCCAAGAUCAUUAUUUGGAAUUAAAGGCUCCAUAUUCAGUAUCAACAUUUUCUUUUUGAAAAAGAUAUUGUCCUCUAUCAAGUUGGCAACUUUUACAUGAAUGCUUUGCUAGCUCAUUCUCCACCCAUGUGAACCACCCUCUCUCUCUCUCUCUCUCUCUCUCUCUCUCUCUCUACCACAUAUCUUAUAUACUAUGUAUAUAUACAGCCUAGUUUGUGAACAAACUUCUCGACUUAAUUUGUACAACCCUACGAAAAAAAUAAUUAAUUAUGCAAAAAAUAUUUUAUUCAGCCCAAACAAGCACUCAGUAUCUUCUAUAACUAAAAAAGAUUGUACAUGUUUUUUUAUCAUAAUCAGAUUACUGAACGAAAGGAUACAAAAUGUUUUUAUUAAUUCGAUUUAGUUAGGCAAAAAGAUUAAUAACUGACAAAAAUUAGCUAAACUAAAAUUAUUAAAAUAAAAUGAGGAGCGAAAAGAAGGUACGUACGCACUAUCCUUGAAUCAUCUUCGUACUAUCUCCACACCUAACACAUGCAAUGCCUGUGAGAACAUAUAUAUAUAUAUAUAUAGUACUGUUGUAUAUUAUUAAGAUUCUUACGUGGAAUCCAAUACCUAUCCUUCAAAAUAAAGUUAGUUGUCUCCACUUUUUUAUUCUGUACAAAGCCUUUUAAAUAUAAUAAUAAUACAUAUUUAAUGAUCAAUACAAUCUGAAAUGAUAUAUAUAUAUAUAUAUUUAUAAUUGAGUUAGAAUGCUUUUACAAGUAUUACCUCUAUGGUGCUAUUAGGUUUUUAGCUGUUGGAUCUACUUCUUAAUUAUUAAUAGCUCUUGGAUCGAACACUACUUCUUAAUUAUAUAUAUGAGUACGUCUUCCAUACUUUCGAAAGUACGGAGAUCUCCGUGCUUGUAAAUUAUUUUUGAUAAUAAGACAUCCGAUUCGACGAUCGGCUGCAUUAAAUAUAAGUUACCCUAUUGGAACUGUUUAGAAACCAAAAUUUAUAAUUUUUUAACAUCAUUUACCAAGCGAUCAAAAGGACUCAAAAAUGAUUUUUUUAAUGGCCGCGUUAUGACACGUUUUUAAGUUCAACGGUGUAGAAGUAUCCAAAUUACAUAAAAAUUUAAUAGAAAAUUCUACAUAACAUUAAUAACAAGAUCAAUACUUCCGAUUUAAAAUUUGAGUCAUUUAUCACUAUUUUUUAUGAGAUUUUCAUUUUCAGCCGUUCAUUUUGAGCCUACUCGUUCACUAAACAAACGAAGUCAGAAAAUUAUGAAAUUUAGUUUUUAGAUAGUUACAAUAGCGUAGAUCAUGUUUAACGGAACUGAUCGCCGAAUCGGAUGUCCCAUCAUCAAAAACAACUUACAAGCACGGAGGCCUCCGUACUUUCAAAAACAUAGAAGCCUAGCUAUAUAUAUAUAUAUAUAUAUAUAAAAUUGAGCUCCUAUGCUUUUAAAAGUACAAAGUUAUUGGUGCUUGUAGAUUUUUGGCCAUUGGAUUGAGGGAUGUGCGGUUAUAAUGAUGUGGGCCCCCUAGGGUUGAGUGUUUGUUGAAUAGUAUAAUCUAACGGUUGAAAAUGAUCAAAGGCGUAGAUCUAACGGUAAAAAUUUACAAGCAUAAAGUGCUUGGUGUUUUUACACGCACCAUACCCGGACUCUAUAUAUAUAUAUAUACACCGUUAAACUACCAAGUAUUUCAUGCCGGCCGUUAAAAAUUGUCAAUUUUGUGAGCUGUUGAUCGUAAGGUAAAUGAUGUCGAAAAAUUAUAAAAUUUGAUUUCUAGAAGUUUUAAAUGCUCUAGAUAAUGUUUAAUGGUGUGGAUCAUCAAUUCAGAAGCUCUAUUAUCGAAAACAACUUAUGAGUACGAGGGCGAUCAUACUCAUAAUAGUAUAGUAGCCGGACUCAUAUAUUAGUAAGGCUACUAUACUCUUAUGAGUAUUGGACCCUUCAUACUCAUAAGUUGUUUUCGAUGAUGGGGUUUCCGAAUCGACGAUCCACUCUAUUAAAUAUGAUCUAGAGUAUUUGAAACUUCUAAAAAAUAAAUUUCGUAAUUUUUCGAAAGCAUAAUAAAGUCCAUCAAACGGGCAUAAAAUAAACGGUCAAAAUCGAACGACGUUCUAAACAUGGAUAAUCGGAUUCUUCAAUUUAAGAUCGAAUUUAUUGAUCUUUAUCUAGAUAGUGAAUAGAAUUUUCUAACAAAAAUUCAGCCUAUUCCAAUUCUUUUACACCGUUAAACUACCAAGUAUCCCAUACCGGCCGUUAAAAAUUGUCAAUUUUGUGUGCUUUUGAUCGUAAGGUAAAUGAUGUUGAAAAAUUAUGAAAUUUGAUUUCUAAAAAUUUUAUAUGCUCUAGAUAAUAUUUAACGGUGUGGAUCGUCAAUUCGGAAGCUCUAUCAUCGAAAACAACUUAUGAGUACGAGGGCGAUCGUACUCAUAAUAGUAUAGUAGCCGGACUCUCUCUCUCUCUCUCUCUAUAUAUAUAUAUAUAGAAUUAGGCUACUAUACUAUCUAUAGUACCGGAGCUCCGGUACUAUAGUCUUGUUUUCGAUCUUAAGGUGUUCAAAUUAACUAUCCACACCGUUAAAUAUGAUUUAGGGUAUAUGAAGUUCUUAGGAAUAAAAUUUUAGUUUUCUUCAACAUCGUUUAUUUAGUAAAUAAAUUAUGUCAAAAUGGAUGGCGAAAAUUGAAUAAUUUUUUAAAUUUGAGCAUAGAACUUUUAAAUUCAAGAUCAAGAAUGUUAACCUUAAUCUAGAUUGUUUAAAGUAUUUUCUAUCAAAAUUUGAAGAAAUUUAGAUUCUUCUACACCGUUAAACUCCAAACUCGCUAUAGUAGUCAUUAAAAAUUGACAAUUUUGAAAUGGUUUGAUCAUAAAGUAAACUAUAUCGAAAAAAUAUAAAAUUUUAUUUCUAAAAACUUUAAAUACUCUAGAUCAGUUUUAACGGUGUGGAUCGUUGAUUUGAACACCUUAAGAUCGAAAACAAGAAAAUAGUACCGGAGUCCCGGUACUAUAGAUAGUAUAGGAGACCAGCUCUAUAUAUAUAUAUAUAUAUAUAUAUAAUUGAGCUCCUAUGCUUUUAAAAGUAUCAAGUCAUUUGUGCUUAUAAGUUUUUAGCCCUUGGAUUAAUAAAUGUGCGGUUAGGAUGAUGUGGGCCCCCUUGGGUUGAGUGGAUGGUUGAUUGAAUAGUAUAAUCUAACGGGUGAAAAUGAUCAAAGGCGUAGAUCUAACGGUACAAAAUUCACAAGCACCAAGUGCUUGGUACUUUUACAAGCACCGUAGCCGGACUAUAUAUAUAUAUAUAGUUGAGCUAGAAUACUAUUGGUAGCAAGCGAGCUCCAUUGCCACCCAUUUAUUUUCGAUGAUGGAGCCUCCAAAUCGGCGAUCGACACCGUUGAAUAUAAUCUAUAGCAUUUGAAGUAUCUAGAAACCAAAUUUCAAAUCUUUUCGACAUUAUUAACCUAAUGAUCAAAGGGUUUCAAAAUUUAUAAUUUUAAUGGUUGCUAUGAGGUAUUUUCUCGUUUAACGGUGUAAAGAUAUUCAAAUCAAUUGAAUUUUAGUUAGAAAAUUCUUUAAACUAUUUAGAACAAGAUCUAUACUCUCGAUCUUGAUUAUAAGAUUCCUAUCAUCAAUUUUUAAAGAAUAUUCAUUUUCAGCCGUUCAUUUUGUGUCCACUUGAUGGACAAGAGAACAAUAUCGGAAAAGUAUGAAUUUGAUUUCUAGAUGCUUCAAGUGGUAUAAGUCAUGUUCAAUGAUGCCGAUCGUCGAUUCGGAGGCUCCAUCAUCGAAAACAAAUGGGUGGCAACGAAGCUCGUUUGCUAUCGAUAGCAUUCUACCUCAACUAUAUAUAUAUAGCAGGACUGCUGUGCUCUCAGGAGUACGGAGUCCUCCGCGCUCCUGAGCCGUUUUCGAUGAUGAAAUUUUCAAAUCGACGAUCGGGUUUGCUAGACUUAAUCUAGCGUAUUUGAAGUUUCUAGAAAAUAAUUUCUGCGAUUUUUUGAUAUCAUUUACCUAGCAAUCAAAGAAUUCAAAAUCAAUAUUUUUUAAUGGUUGAUAUCUGCCGUUUUCAAAUUUAACGGUAUAGAAGUAUUCAAAUCAGAUGAAAUUUUAAUACAAAAUUUUUUAUACUAUCUAUAACAAGAUCAAUAUUUCUGAUCGGAAAUUUUAGUGCUGUAUCACCACUUUUUAUAGAAUUUUUAUUUUCAACCGUUAAAAAUUAUUGAUUUUGAAUCUUUUUGAUUGCUAGAUAAAUGAUAUUGAAAAAUCGCAAAAAUUAUUUUCUAGAAACUUCAAAUACGCUAGAUUAAGUCUAACGGAACCGAUCGUCGAUUCGAAAAUUUCAUUAUCAAAAACGGCACAAGAGCACGGAAGUCUCCGUGCUCCUGAGAGCACAGCAGUCCUACUCUAUAUAUAUAUUGAUUAGAAAAGAACUUAUACAUCUCAUACCCAACUUUGCAGCUGAAGUCUGCUGCACCUAGUUCUGGAGAAAGAACAAAAAUAUUUUAAAUAAGAUUUCUAUUCUUUCCAAAGAUAUCGAACCGACAAGCUCCAUUUUCGAAUCAUGCAGCAUAUAUACUUGAGCAUCUGACCAUAGCAAAAACGAUGAACUUGUGCUCAAAAAUAUUACAAAAAUUCUGAUAAAGGCUUAAGAAAAAGGCUUAACGUUGGCAAUAAAUUCUACAACUUAAUUUCAAUUAAGAUGAUUUUACAUCUUUCCUCAAUCACUCUCUGCAAGCAAAAUAUCCAUUGUGCAUGCAUUUUUUGGUAUUUUUUACGUGAGACCCUGAUAAUCUUAUAUAUAAGAUAUAAUAGAGCUAAAACUUUUAAUUCGGUUUAAAUAUUUUGGAUGGUGGAUAGACCCAAAGUGUUAAAAGAGUUAAGCAUGCUAGGACGGGAGUAGUCCUAGAAUAGAUAACCUCCUGGUAAGUGGGGCGUCACAUUUUAUAUGCUACAUUGCUAUCUAGAAAUUAUAGAAAAAAGAUACUUCUAAUAAAACAUAUAUAAAAAGGCUUUUUUCUGCAUUUGAUCCUCUCAAAAAAAUUAUUUUCACAAAUAGCCCCAUCAAAUUUUAUAAUCGCUAUUUUAGCCCUAUCCCUACCACGAGCAAGAAUGGUGGAUGUGGAAUUAUUUGAACACGAUAAAUAAUUCACCAUGUCUAGUGUAUUAUAUUACUUGCGCGCGGGGUCAAUAUAUUCACUGAACAUAGUGAACCAUUCAAAUUAUUUAGACUCGGUGAAUGAAUUAUCAUGUUCAACUUAUUCCACAUCCCCACCCCUGCUCACAUGGCGCUGACGUAACUGCGUGGCGGGGAUAUGACCAAAAUUGUAAUUAUAAAAUUAGUAGGGCUAUUUGUAAAAAAAAGCCUUUUUGAGGGUGCCAAAUGCAAAAAAAAAAAAAAAAAAAAAAAAAAAAAAAAAAAAAAACCCUAUAUAAAACAUGUUUUUAAAGUAAAAAACAUAUAUAUAGUACAUGAAUGUUGCAUGACACAAUUAAUAGUUAGGUAUAUUAGGAGGCCUAAUGAGACAAUUUGCAAAGUAAGUUACUUUGUAAAAAAACUUUUGUUUAAAUUAAUGUAAUAACGUACCAGUUAUGGAACAAUAAACAUUUUUUACACCUCCACUUUGCGGUCAACGUGCAAGAAAUUAAUGGAAAGGUAUCUUAAUUAAUUAUUGGAUGAGUUAAAAUUUUGUUUUACAUGGCCAAAAAAAAAGAAAAAAAAUAGUCGCUUUCUUAACUAUAUCUAAUUGCGUACGUAUGUGUUUGAGUUAUAUAAAUUGUUCUUCCAUUUAGAUUAAGAAUGAAUACGUACACCUUAUCCUUCAUUAUCACACUUUCGGUACAACUCAUCCUUCUUAAUUUAAACCAUGAAAUUAAUCUUAUGAUGAAGCAACCCUCCGUGAAUAAAUAAGUCACUAAUUCUUGAGUGCAUGGUUUAGUCAAAAUCAUUUCCAAAUGGCUAUAAUAGAAAGAGCCACCUUAAAAAUAAAUAAAUAAAUCAUCAUGGUUGAGUUACAACUCACAAAUAAUAAUUGCGUUGGGCAUCUUGGUUGAGUUACAACUCAAAAAAAAUAAAGUAAAAUAAAAUAAAACAAUCAUGUUGAAUGUCUCGAUUGAGUAACAACUCUAAAAUAACAACAUAGAGUCGGUGAUCUUCGUUACCAUUUUUUUAAGGUUAUAAAGAGCAAUAACAUUAUAUGUUAAUUGCGUGCGUUGGGUGUAUUGGUUGAGUUACAACUCAAAAAAAAAGAAAUAAAACAAUCAUGUUGGAUUUCUUGAUUGAGUAACAACUCAAAAGUAACAACAUAAAGUCGAUGAUCUUGAUUAAACAUUUUUUUUUUAAGGUUAUAAAUUAAUUAAGAGCAACAAAAUUGUAUGUUUACUCCUACAAAGUUUUAGUUAUCAAAUUUAUUACUCCAAGAUAGCAUAGUUUGCAAAUAUAUCCCUCUAUACUAGUAAACCAAUUAAAGUUGACUUUUUUAAAGGCUAAAUUACAGCAAACCUUCCUGUCAAAACUCAAUUUUUCACUUUUUUUAUCAUGUCAUUUAAAAGCAUAUAUACUUUGCCCCUUUAUAAAAUAAAAAAUGUUCACUUCACCUCUCUGCCGUCAGUGAUCCGUUAAAGUUUCGUUAUAAAAUAUUUUUUAUGCCAAAAAUAUCCUCUGCCCUCUUUACUGUGCUUUGCUCUCCUCCGCCUCGCCGCCUCGCCCUCCUCCACUGCCUCGGCCUCGCACACAUCCCCGUCCGUACCCACAACGAUUUCCUCCCUACUGUCGCCAAAAUGGAGAGGCGAUAAGGGUGCGGAAGGAGAAGAGAAGCAGGUGGAGAAAAAAAUGGAGACGAACCGCGGCCGAUCGAGGCAGCGGAUGAGCAAGAUGAGGGAGGAGACGAAAAUGGUGAAGGAAAAAAUGGUCAUUUUGUCAUCACAGCUCACACCAUACCUCUCGUGAACAUUUUUUUAUUUUACAAGGAGACAAAGUGUAGGUUUUUAAAUGACAGGGAGGAAAGUGAAAAAUUGGAUUUUAACAGGAGGAUUUUAUAUAAUUUAACCUUUUUAGAAUACAAAGUAACGAUUUCAUCCUUAAAUAAAUAUCUUUUUAAUUAUAUUUGAAAUUAUGUGUCAAUUUCAAUAUUUUUAUUCUAACUUUUAUGUCACUCAAUGUAAAUCAUAAACUAUAGUUCUACAAAAGUGUUUAAAGCGGUUGUCUUUUUAUAAGGGAUAACGUUUCAAAUGGUGAAAAUAACGUUUCAAACGGUGAAAAACAAUCGGUGGUAUUUAAUAUGUAAAAAUAAAUUUAUAUAUUUUGAAGCUUUAAAGAGAGAUACAUUUGAUAAUUAAAACUUUACAAUAACUUAUCUCCAANAUAUAUAUAUAUAUAUAUAUAUAUAUAUAUAUAUAUAUAUAUAUAUAUAUAUAUAUAUAUAUAUAUAUAGACCGGCUGAGAUGCUUCUAAUAGCACCAAGUACUUGGUGAUGCUAAGUUUUCCACCGUUAGAUUUAUCAUUUUGAUUAUUUUUAACCGUUAAAUCAUAUUAUUCAACCAAUCACCCACUCAACUCUAAUGAACUAUUAUUUUUCUAACUAGAGACUCCUAUCAUCCUAACUGCAUAUCCCUUCAUCUAGCGAUCGAAAUUUUAUGAAUACAAAUGAGUAUAUGCUUAUAAGAGUAUAGUAACCUUACUCUAUAUAUAUAUAACCUUGCAAAAACAAAAAUAAAAAAGCUAAAUUACAGAAAACCCUCUUGUCAAAAUCCGAUUUUUCACUUUCCCUUCCUGUCAUUUAAAAACCUACACUUUACCCCUUGUAAAAUAAAAAAUAUUCACAGAGGGAGUACGAUGUGAACUGCAAUGAUAAAAUAACUAUUUUGCCCCUUACUAUAUUCACAGGAGAGAAGGCUGAGGGUAUUUUUAGCAUAAAAAAAUAUAUAAUAAUAUUUUAUAAACGAAAUCCUAACAGAUUACUAACUGCAGGGGGCGAAGUGAAUAUUUUUUAUUUUACAAGAGGGCAAAGUGUAGGUUUUUAAAUGACAGAAGGCAUAAGUAAAUUUUGACAGGGGGUUUUAUGUAAUUUAGUCAAAUAAAAACAUAUAGAUGCCCUAGUGUGAAUGGUGUGAGGACAAAAAAGUAAGGGACUAAAAAGCAAAGAUAGAAAGCCUAUAAAUAUACAUAAAGCUAUCCUGGUCACAUGGAUUGGUGUUCUUCUCCUAAUAAAAAAGUUACUUGAUAAAGUUUAAACCUUAUUAAUUUAUUUAGAAUAAUAAUAUAGAAGUAAUGCUUUAUUAGGAAGGACAUAGCUUUACGAAGGACUAAAUGUCAUUGUCUUUAGCUAUCGCCACGGUGCACUUGUUCAUAUUUGCUUGUUGUUUUUCAUGCGAUCUUAUUUUGAGAGAUAAUAAUAAUAAUAAUAAUAAUAAUAAUAAUAAUAAAAUCAUAAAAUCGUGUAAUUUGAUUUUUAGAAAGUUCGAAACAAUCUAGAUAAUAUUUGAUGGAAUCGAUCGUCAAUUUAGAUGCUCCUUUUAAAAAAAAAAAAAUGAAAGUAAAUUAACAUGCUUACUCCUAGAAGCAUUUUUAUGCCUAAUGAUACAUCUCAUAUGCAUUCAAAAUGGGUCCUAAAGAAGACAAUUUAAUUUCCUCUGUAAGUCUCUUCUUUAUAACGAAAAUUAAAUUAAAAUUAAAUUUCAAUAAAAAACACUAAAAUUGAUCAUUAAUCUUUCGAAUGUAAGCAUUUGAUUUUGAAUUAUACAGGUGUUUCAUUGUGAAAGUAACAACAUUACUAUCACAUUAUUAGUGUCAAAUAUUUAUUUCAGAUUUAAAAUAUGAGGACAACAAAAGAGAAAUUUAUCAAAGUUUAGGAACUAUCAAUGUAUUUUAGUUAAUAAUAUUUAUCUAAAAGAGCACAUCACUAAUAUACUACUAAUAUACUAGCAUCUUUUCUUUUCUUUUCUUUUCUUUUCUUUUCUUUUUCUUUUUUUUUGUGGGGCUUUUAAUAUGACAUGGCAAAUCACAAAAGGAAAGGAAAUGAAAUGGGAAAGACAUUCAGCACCCACUACCUCCCUAUGGAUUUUAUUUUAUCUUUAAAAAAAAUAAUGCAAAUCUUACACUUUUUUUUAAUCCAAAGUUCUUUAUUAAGCCUUUAUUUUUAUCAAAAAAAAAAAUUAAAAAAAUUAAAAAUUUAAAGAGUUUUAAAAUCCUAGAGUGAAGAGCUGAAACACUUACAUCCCUUUUCGGACGUACCAAUAGCAUUUAUCUUUAAAAUUAUUAUUCAAGUUUAAAAAUGAGAUAAAAUUAUCUGCACAACACAAUUCUGUGACAAAAGAACAACACCAGAGAGGGUUAUGUGACAUCCCAAUAGUUUCGUCGCAUCAAACGGAAAAGAAAUUAUACAUGAGAAUGUAAGGAUCAUGAAUUUUAAUACUAAUAACUGAUUAUUACUGCUAGCAGGUUAGGUCAUCACAUUUGGUGCCAAAUUGCCAGUCGACAAUAUGAGAUAGAACACACAUCGUGCAGUGAUUUUGGACUGGAAAAUGAAACCUAACGAUAAUACUCAUAACUAAACUUAAACAUUUUGGACCAGCAAAUUGUUAGUAAGUACUUGUAAGCUGAGUCAUUACAAUUUAUAUAAAACAAAAAUAAAUUGUUCAAGUAUUCCUAUAUUAGCUGAUCUCAAAUUGCUCUAAAGGUUAGAUAGGUGGAAAGCUUUUUUGCUGUCAUUUAUUGAACACCAGAAGAACAGAAUUAGUACUGCACAAGCAAAUCUAACAAGAUACUAAUUCCCAUAUUAUAAUAUAUUGAUCCUAAACCCCAGAGGCCACCACAAAAUUAGUGGAAUCCCUUGCUUUCCAACUUUGAUAGUGGGCCAAAAACAAAUUCCUCAACAAUGAACACAAUGCAUAUAUAUAUACAAGUUGGUUACUCCAUUAUUUGCUUCAUUGAACAUACCAUUCCUUGUUAAAUUCCCCAACCACCCCCCCUUUCUCCAGCUACUCACACAAGAGGAACCAGCCACUGAGAAGUUGAGGAUCUUCAGAUUUCAGGUGUUGUAAUGUUGAUAGAUACAUUCCCUUGGUUGAGAUUUUGCCCUGUUUUUUUUGUGUUGGUGUUCUUUUUUGGGCCAUUUGCUACUGAAUUAUCACAAAUUGCACUAACUUUUAGAAUAACUUCAUCUCUGUCUAAUUGGCUCAUCAUUCUGAUCACCAUUCUGCAACUCAAGAGUAAAGUUAGGCUUUUUUUCUCAACUCCUUCCACCUUUUACUAAUUAAUUUGAAUUCCUAAGUAGGUUGCCAACAUGAAGAACAUGCUCCCUCUUUCUCUCUCUAUACAAUAUCAGUGAGAACAACCAACCCCUCUCACCCUCUUUCUCUCUUAAUUGUUUUUCUUUUGCUAUGACAUUUUGAUACUAAGCCAAUCAGUCACCUUCUCUUCCCAAUUCCACUCUAAGAAAAAGUCCGAAUCAAAUUUAAAUUUGAUUUUAUGUUUUUAACCUUUUUUUUGGGCUUAUUGUGUGUACAGGGAGGGCUUAGGAUGGGGGGAAAUGAAACUGGGGAGAGCACAACAACAUCAACAGCAACAGCAACAACAACAACAAGAGAGGUGAAGUAUCAGAAGAGCUACUUUGAUGUUUUGGGGAUCUGUUGCCCUUCAGAAGUGCCCCUAGUAGAGAAAAUAUUGAGGCCAUUAGAAGGGGUUCAGAAGGUCUCAGUGAUAGUUCCUUCAAAGACUGUUAUAGUUGUGCAUGAUGGCAGCCUCAUCUCCCCUGUUCAGAUUGGUAUGCAUGAAUCUCUCUCUUGUUCAGUCUGGGGUCUUCUUUAUCUGUCUAAAGAGCUCAAGUUGGCUUGUUAGUUAAGUUUUACUGCACAAGAAGUUAACCUAAAAAAUAAAAAGAAAAAAGAAAAAAGGGGGAGAGAGAGAGAGAGAGAAAGUGAGAAGUUUGAGUAAUUUUUGUAUUUGGUCAGUUAUAUCCAUCAAAUCGAUCUUUCCAGUAACAUAGUAUCAAACCAAGUUCUAAGAUCCACGGAUCCAAAUAUUAACAAUAUUUAGUUAUAAUGUUUAGCAUGGCCGAUGUGAUCUCCAGCGUGCAAGUGAGCAUGAAUGUUAAGACUAUUCUCAGGCAUUUCCUAUCAGAUUAAUUUGUUUGCUGACCGAAAAUAGCUCCCGAGAGGCUUCCCUACUCAAAAAGUAGAAGCCAAUUAGCAACCAAAAAAGAUUCGGGUUCAAAAAAUUACAAGCGACCCUAAAAGAGCUCACACUAAUCAAAAUAACAUUUCUACAGAAACUCAAGCCACACCAAAAGAAAAAAUAGUCCCAAGACAACCAAACAAGCUUUUUUAUGUUAUUCAAUGAGGCUUUGGUUUGGAGGUCUCCAAAGUAGAAGAAUUUGGUUAAGGCUCUCUAGAGGAAAAGAUCAUCAAAUAAUUAAAUAUUUGGUUUUUUUGAUGAACCUCACUGUUGGGACCAAACAAGCACCACAAAGACCUCUAACUGCACCAAAAGCUUGAUUUUUUGAAAGCUACUGGACCUGCACAUUUAAGUUUGGCAGAUGUUACAACUUAUUUAAUCAUUAGGUAGUCAUUUUCCAGGGCUCUAUAAUUAAUUUUGAAGAGAAAAAAAAUUAAGUGGGAAGAGGGGGUAGAUGAAGAGCAUUAAUUGAAAUCUAAAAAUAUCCUUGGUUAUAUGGUCUCUCUCUCUAUUCUUGACUAUUGGCUAAGUUGCCUGAAUCUUUUACCUGCAGUGUUUCACUUGAAUUGAUGUUCUAAACAGUGUAAUCCAUAAAAAUGAAUUGUAAUAUGCACUGCUUAGUAGAUCGGCAUUUGAAUCCAUGAAUCACCCUUUGAUCUGAUUUUAACUUUCAUCAGUCAAGGCUCUAAACCAAGCCAGGCUCGAAGCCUCGAUUCGAGCUUACGGGGGCGGCAGAAUCAUCAACAAAUGGCCGAGCCCGUAUAUAAUUGCGAGCGGUCUGCUGCUUCUCGUCUCGCUGUUCAAGCGAUUCUUCCGUCCCCUGCAAUGGCUAGCCUUGGCAGCAGUCGUGGUCGGGCUGCCGCCGAUAGUAUUGAGAAGCAUCGCCGCCAUUCGGAGAUUAACUCUGGAUAUCAACAUUCUCUUACUGAUUGCAGGUACAGGACCUCAUCCUUUGAUUCCCCUUAAAGGCUUUAUGAUGACAUCUUAAGUGCAAUUUGGUACUACUUAUCUUCUAAUAAAAGAACACAUUCCAAAGAACAAUGAAAAGCAUAGGAUUCUAUUUCUAGGGAUCUAGGGGUGCAUAAAUUGCUCAGGUUAAGCACAAACAAGACAAUUCCCCAUUGCACUUUAGCUCCGGUCUCAAUUACCCCCACUGCAUAAAAGAAAUCGCAUCAAUUACCCUUCCACAUUUUAUCAUUAUCUCAAACAGGUCCAGGUAUUUACGAUAAUUGUUGAAUUCAGUUAUAAAACUUUGUAAAAAGAAAUGUGCAGUUAAAGUUAUCUAUCAGUAAUGCAGUAGAAUCUUAUAAAAUGAAUAAAUUUCUCAAUAAACUAUCAAUUUUGAUAGUAUUAGUAAAAUAAUAGAUAUCCUUUAUCUAGAUUUUUUUAUAUAAUUUUUAAGUUAUAAAUUGGAUAUAUGUUGAGAUACAGAACAAUGUGAUAUCCCAGUUCGUUUUAGUAAAGUUUUAUAGCCUAAUUUCCGAAUUGUUUAAAUUUUUUAGAUCUAUUUAAGAUGAUAAUCAAGCGUAGGGUGACAUUUUAAUGUGGUGGGGUAAUUAAGACAAGCACUAAAAUGCAAUGAGGCUUUUUAUUAUUUACCCAUGUUUUUUCCACAAUAAAUGAUGGGAAAACUUCAAAAAACCCCCCUGUGGUUUGGUAGUUUCUCACUUUGUCCCCCUGUGGUUUAAAGUGUAUUAAUUUGCCCCCCUGUGGUUUCGUUUUUAUCUUUUCGGUAGCUUUUUCGUUAAUAUUUCAUUAAAUUAUAUACAAAAAACUUCAGAUACCCAUCUAGAUUUAUCAAAUAUUCACUUUAGUACCCUUUAAUUUUAACUUUAUCACUGAUUUAAGAAAAAAAAAUAAUGAAAUUGAUAAGAAAAAGAGAAAAAAGAAACCACAGGGGGGCAAAUUGAUACAUUUUAAACCACAGGGGGGCAAAGUGAGAAACUAUGAAACCACAGGGGGGUUUUUUGAAGUUUUCCCAUAAAUGAUUAAACACAUCAUGCACUUUUCUUAUUUUCCUUCUAAGAAAAAUAAUUAUUUAGAAGGUACUAAAGAUGCUAUUAAGAUUAUGGUAUUGGAGAGCAAGGUUGUCAUUAGCUCCAUAAUGUUAAAGUUAAUGAUUCUGCAACAAAAAUAAAGAAUUCCAAGUUGAGCAUAGUAGGAAUCACUACAAACACAAGUCACAAUUAAGGGUGGACCAAUCCAUGAUGCAAAAAGAGAUCACUUUUACUUUUUUUUUAAAUGCAAAAAAUGUAGAAAAACCUAGUAUUGCACUCUUAACAUAAUUAAGAAAGGGGGAUAAUCUUAAUCUCAGGUGAGAUUCAUACUUUUAAAAUCUAAAACCUAUAAAAAAUAUAUAUAUAUAUCAAGUUUCAUAUCCAACUUAAACCUAAAAAACCCGAAUUCGACAGAACUAUAAGAUCCGUGUCAAGAUCCGAACCUAAUUAGUGGUUAGCUAUGAGAUCCAUGUUAGGAUCAAACCUAAUUGCACAUCAUCCUCUUAAGUUAUUUUUCUUAAAGUAUGAUUAAAUAACCUUGUAAAUGGAACGCAUUAUCCUAAACAAUCAUGACUAUACGGGUUUUAUAGCUGAUUAAAAAGAAAAUGUUUGUGCAACAAAAGUCAUCAUUUGAUCAAAUUUUUAUUAACUAAAUAUUUUGUAAGAUCAUAUAACUAGCAGGGAUACAAUAGUAGCCAAAACUCGUAAGACGAAUACCUUGGGGGGUUAGGUCUCGGAAAGCCAACCAAGAAAUCUGAGGUUCAAAGUUUGAAACUUACUGUACCUAGCGCGGUUGGCUAAGGGCUUGAUGGUCGGUACCCAAGGUUCCAAGUUCGAAGCUUAGUUGCUUCACAUUUCUAACUACAUUUAUUUCUAAAAUAAAAAGAAAAUAAAAGAAGCAGUAGCUUGCAAUCUUUAAUAAGCUGUAGAAUGUUGUGUCAGGUGUGGGACUCACAGACAAGUCUAAAAAAAAUAAAUAAAAGUGAAGUAGCUCCAAGCUGGAGAACUACACCACUUAGGGGGGGCUCCCAAUUGCUCUAUCUGCGAUUUUCCUAUCUCCUAUAUUGAAAUUUUUUUUUAUACUUUUUUCACUUUACUAGAUGAAAUUUCAACAUGAAAUCAUAGUCUUUCAAUCGAAGAAAAAAAUUACCUUAGUCUUCCAUUUCUAGACCGUUCUAUUCCAGUAGUUCGACCGUCAAAUUUUAUUUGUUUUGCUAUUUUCAGAAUACGGAAUGUGACUUACUAUUAUUGAUCUAAUUGAUAAUACAUGGAAUGGACCUGUUAUCUCUAUCAAGAUGAGCUCAUGAUAUGCUCAGGUUCAUGGAAUAACUGUCAAUGGGUGCCUGUCAUUUGUGAUUUGCUUGCCUUGGUGGAAUGGGAAUAGUCCAACCUUUAAAGUUAUAAUACAUAUAUAGAGAGAGAGAGAGACCACAUGAGACACUUCUAAUAGCACCAAGCAUAUGGUGCUUUUUCGCCAUUAAAUUUACCCUUUGAUCAAUUCUAUCUUUUAAAUCAUGCUAUACCAACCAACAAUCAAACCCUAGAAGACCACUAUCAUUUCAACCCUAUAAUUUUUCACCCAAUAGUUAUAAAUUUGGUAGUAAAAAGACACGAAUACUAUUAAAAAAUAUUCUAAGUCAAUUAUAUAUAUCACCUUUUGGAGUGCUCAACUUGAGUUUUAUUAAAGAGGGUUUGUUCCCUCUAUAUAGAUACUGUGGUUAAGUACCACAACGUAAUUUCCCAACACCAAGAGGUUUGGAUUCCAAUAUUCCAACAUGUUGAAAGCACAAAAUGAUUUUAUUUUCUCUUUUUUAUUUCUUGGUAUGGAAUAAUUAACAUAAGGUGUGGCAUAACUAUCAACUGCACUAGCAGUAAAGGACAAAGUCUGAGAGAUGCUUACCCUACUUGCGUGAAUAAUUUUAGUGUAAAAAUGUACUGAGAUCCCCUCAACUAUUAGUCAUUUUGAUCUUUAGAUUAUUUUUCCAAAUUCGGCUUUAUAUGCAAUAAAAUUAAGGAUUGAUGACAUCUAAAUUCCAUCUGCUAAAAUGUAAUCUAAACUUUUAAAUUCAACAAAAUGAUUGUUAACUUUAGUAAAUUUUUAGAUUAAUCAAUAAAAAUAACUUAACCAAAGAAAUUAAAUAUUGAAGGGACAUAAAAAAAAAAAAGAAAAUAGUUGAGGGGUCUCUGUACAUUUUUAUCUCAUAAUAAUUCAUAUCUUUCAAACUUUCACUUCCACAUAUAUUGCCAUGUGAUAAAGAUUAAUUGUUUAUUUGAUUUGCUUCAUUUUUUUGGGUCCUAGUAAGAGAUAAAUUUUUUAAAGUUAAGAUUAAAUUAUGGUUUUUCUUGUUUCUUAAAUUAUGUGUAUUUGGCAGUGGGUGGAGCAAUUGCUCUCAGGGACUACUCAGAAGCAGGGUUUAUUGUGUUUCUCUUUGCCACAGCUGAAUGGUUGGAAACAGUGGCAAGUCACAAGGUCUCUAUCAAUCUCUCUCCCUCUCUCUCUCAAUCGCACACACACACACACACACACUUUUAAUUUCUUUUUUUUUUUUUGGUAAAAAUGUAUGGAGACCCUCUCAACUAUAGGCAGUUCUGAAAGUGACCCCCAACUUCAAUUUUUCUAAUUUACACCCCCUUUAAUUUUUUUUUUUCAAUUGAAUUACUCUAGUUAUUUAACUUAAAAAUCUUGUUAAAUUUAAUGGCUUAAUUAGCUAUUACCAGUUGAUUAAUCAAGCUUUAUUCCUCACACUCUUCUAAGGCCUAGUUUGAUAACAUAGUAACUAAAAGUGCAAGAGCACUUUUAAUCUUUUUUCCUCUACAGGCUUCUCCAUCAGCCGUUUACUCUAAUAAAAGAUUCAGCUAGCAUAAAACAAUAAUUUGACAGGAAGUAAAAAGCCUAUACUUGAGCUUUUAAACUAAUCAGUUGUUUUAUAAUAAUAGGCACAUUAAUGUAGAGACUAUCAACUGUAGAGUCAGUAAAACCAAUCUACACAAUAUAAGAAUUUUUUUAUUAAUAUUCUUAAAAAUUAUUAUAAUUAUAAAAAUAGUUCUUUAAAAAAAUUAUUUAUAAAACUAGUCUUACACAAUAAAUGAAUUACUGAUUUCUAAAUGCGAUAAAUUAUCCACCGCUUUCUAUAAAAUAUUAAAAUUACUUUUAGCGUUUAAUGUCAUACAUCUUAUUUUUUGUAGUUCGACCAUAAAAAAUAUAGUGUAGAGCUACUAUGCUAUCAGAAGCAUAAAAGGUUUUAUGUUUUCGACUUUUUGACUCUUGGAUCAAAAAUUGUACAGUUGGGAUGAUUGUGGUCCCCCCUAGGAUUGAGGUAGCACUAGGGUGUCAAACGGCCGGGCGGCCGCGAGUCCGCCCGGCCGGCACGAGAGUGGGCGCGGGCCAGGCACGGCACGAGUACUGUAGCGGGCCGUGCCGGCCCGACCCGGCCAGUCAAAUCGGGUCGUGCUGGGCCUUGCUCCUGUGGCUUGAUGGCCCGGCACGGCCGCGGCACGACCCGAGCCUGGCCGUGCCGGGCCUGAGAGUUUACCUUGCCGGCGGCGCGGCAUGACACGCCCGACCCAUGUGGCAGGGUCUUCGAGCCGGGCCCAGGCAUGGACUUGGGUACGACGGCCUUACCCAACUCCCAAGGCCCUGUACUACCCAACUCCCAAUGCAUUGGGAGUUGGGCUUUGGGGCUCUCCCAAGGUCUGUGAUAAUAGAUCCUUGGGAGUUGGUUUGGACCAAAAUCCCUCCAACAGUCAAAUUUUUGAUUGUGGGAAGGGCAUUUUGUUCCAAAAAUUUAAAAUUAAAAUAAUUUAAAAUUUUAAUAUUUUGUAAAUAUAUUUUAAAAUUUUAAUUUUUUAUUGAUAUAUAAUUUUUAAAAAUAAUAUUUUUAUUUUUAUUUUAAAAAAAAAUUAAAAUUUUUUAAAUAAAAUUAAUAAAAUAAAAAAAAGGGCUGGCCCGAAGCCGCCCAGCCAGGCACGGCUAGGGGUGGCAAUCUCAGCUCGCUGUUCGCGAGCCAGCUCGUGUUCGGCUCGAAAUGAGCUCGAGAUCGGCUCGCUCAUUUAGUAAACGAGCCGAACACGAGCCGGAUUUUUCAGCUCUUUAAUAAACGAGCCGAACACGAGCUAGGGUCAGCUCGCUCGCGUUCGGCUCGAUAACAGCUCGAUUUUAUUUAUUUUAUAUUAGUAUAAUUUUUUUAUAUUAUAAUAUAUAUAUAAUUAUAUUUGUAUAUAAAUAUAUAAUACAGAUUAUUAAUUUUAAAAUUUUAGCCAUUCUAAAUGGAUUAUCUUGGGCCUAAUCUUGGUUUGGGCCACGAUGCUAGAGAGAGAGAGACCGACUCAGGAUGCUAUAGAUGGAUUAUCUUGGGCCUUAUCUUGGACCCGACUCAGGAUGUGGAGUCGGGUCCGACGAUGUUACAGAGAGAGACCACAGACCAGCUACCCGAUAGCCGGUUCCAGGUGCGGAUUCGGGCUCGGGAAGCGCUACAGUGAGGAAGCGCGGACCCGUUGCCCGAAACCCCACUCUCCUUUAGAUUACGCCGCCGCCUUGUCCCAUUCUUCACCUUGGAUCCUCCCAUGUCUCACCCAUGUCUCACCGCCGCCUUGUCCCAUUCUUCACCUUGGAUCCU
rnacentral:lncRNA from 1 species